GUGCUCGAUUUGGCAGCACAUAUACUAAAAUUGGAACGCUGCAGAGAAGAUUAGCAUGGCCUCUGCACAACGAUGAUAGGCAAAUUCUUGAAGCAUUCCAUAUUUUU